rnacentral:tRNA from 1 species
CGGGAGAUGGCUGAGUGGUUAAAAGCGGCGGUCUUGAAAACCGUUGAGGGUCAUACCUCCGGGGGUUCGAAUCCCUCUCUCCCGGCCA